rnacentral:rRNA from 1 species
AAGAGAAUGAUUAAACAAUUAAAAGCUUUCUUUAAUUGAAUAAUUGAAUUUAAUUUUUUAGUGCAAAAGCAAAAAUAAAAAUUAGGGACAAGAAGACCCUAUGAAUUUUUUAUUAAAUUUUAUAAAACUUUAUAUAAAAUUUAAUUUAAUUGGGGUGAUGGAAAAAGAAUAAAUAUCUUUUUUUUAAAGAAAAUUGGUUCCGUUUUUAGCGAUUAAAUGAAAAAAAUACUCUAGGGAUAACAGCGUAAUAAUUUUGGAUAGUUCAUAUAGAUAAAAUAGUUUGCGACCUCGAUGUUGGAUUAGGAUUCUUUUUUGGUGAAGAAGUUAAAAAAAGAAGUUUGUUCAACUUAUAAUUUCCU